rnacentral:lncRNA from 1 species
GUUUUUACAUGCAUUUUCUAAAAAGCAGUGAAAAUGGAAACUGGUUGGAAUUUUCAAUUUUGGGUGCCUGCUCCAGUUUCAGAGCCAUACUCCUUUUUUUCCCUCAAAUGGCUAGCAAUUUGCUACAUGAACUUCCUAUCAUUCCUGACAAUUAGUGAAUCGGGGUGAUAAAAAUGAUGUAGAAAAAACAGUAUCUUCUCUUGUUCUACCUACAACAAAAUAGACAAGGAAGGUAUGGGGGCUCAUUACUGUAGAACUGUCUUUGUCUAUUAGUUUUUUGAAGAAUACAUGAAUAAUGAUUUGUCUCGGUCUUCAGACUUCCUAUCUUCCAUUUUUUUCUGGGAAAAUCAUAUUAAAUAGGAAAGCUCUAGAUAAGACAUCAGAUAAUUUGAUUUAAACCAAAGUAAAAGAGCAAGCAAGAGCUAAAGCCUCUUAUUUUGGGGAAAUCUUUCAAUGCAAAGCAAUUACCUGGUUGCUGCCGAAAAAUGAAUAAUCACUGCUCCUUCCCCCCCAAUCACUUUUAGGGGCUUGAUACUGCGGCAUCUCUGGCUACUGGUUUGGUAGGCACGGGGCUUGAUACUGCGGCAUCUCUGGUUGGUGGUGUUGCCGGCGGUCUUCCACUUGGCGGUUUGACAUCUACUGUUGGUGGUCUCACUGGCAGUCUUGGUGGUGUUACCGAAGGUCUUCCAGUUGGAGUUGUAUUAGACACGGUUGGUGGUGUUGCCGGCGGUCUUCCACUUGGCGGUAUGACAUCUUCGCUUGGCGGUAUGACAUCUUCGGGUGGUGUAGUACAUAUGGUUGAUGGUGUUCCUGUAAGUAUUCGUAAACUGAUCUGGUCUUUCAAGGGAGAAAAACAUUUGCUUUUUUAUUUCUCCACCACAAAAUAGACAACCUGCUUCUCUCAGUUCCCUUUCUCUGCUCUAAAUCUGUGUUACAUUUGAUGGUCCAUUUGGUUUACACCACUUCCUUAGUAGUUAUAAGUCUUGGUACCUCUUCCUGUCUGUAAACAAAUGCUUCUUCGAGUUUACACCCACCCUUUGUAAUUGUGGAGUGAAAAGGAGAUGUACAAAUUGGAUUCUUCCUCUAGUUAGUAUUUCUCUGUCACCAAUAGCCCAAGUUUCAUCCUUCUCCUUAAUUUUCCUUCUUCCAUCACUACCUUGCCUUCCCACUACAAAG